AUACAGAGGGUGCGAGCGUUAAUCGGAAUUACUGGGCGUAAAGCGCGCGUAGGCGGCUUAUUAAGUCAGAUGUGAAAUCCCCGGGCUCAACCUGGGAACUGCAUCUGAUACUGGUAAGCUAGAGUUUUGAGAGGGAAGUAGAAUUUCAGGUGUAGCGGUGAAAUGCAUAGAGAUCUGAAGGAAUACCAGUGGCGAAGGCGACUUCCUGGCCAAAAACUGACGCUGAGGUGCGAAAGCGUGGGUAGCAAACGGGAUUAGAAACCCUUGUAGUCC
rnacentral:rRNA from 1 species